rnacentral:rRNA from 1 species
GAUGAACGCUGGCGGCGUGCCUAAUACAUGCAAGUCGAGCGAACAGACGAGGAGCUUGCUCCUCUGACGUUAGCGGCGGACGGGUGAGUAACACGUGGAUAACCUACCUAUAAGACUUGGAUAACUUCGGGAAACCGGAGCUAAUACCGGAUAAUAUAUUGAACCGCAUGGUUCAAUAGUGAAAGACGGUUUUGCUGUCACUUAUAGAUGGAUCCGCGCCGCAUUAGCUAGUUGGUAAGGUAACGGCUUACCAAGGCGACGAUGCGUAGCCGACCUGAGAGGGUGAUCGGCCACACUGGAACUGAGACACGGUCCAGACUCCUACGGGAGGCAGCAGUAGGGAAUCUUCCGCAAAGGGCGAAAGCCUGACGGAGCAACGCCGCGUGAGUGAUGAAGGUCUUCGGAUCGUAAAACUCUGUUAUUAGGGAAGAACAAAUGUGUAAGUAACUAUGCACGUCUUGACGGUACCUAAUCAGAAAGCCACGGCUAACUACGUG